rnacentral:rRNA from 1 species
CAGUUGACGGGGCCGCACAAGCGGUGGAGUAUGUGGUUUAAUUCGAUGCAACGCGAAGAACCUUACCUGGUCUUGACAUCCCGGAGACCCUUAGGAAACUAGGGGUGCUUCCAUCUGGAAGAAUCUGGAGACAGGUGCUGCAUGGCUGUCGUCAGCUCGUGUCGUGAGAUGUUGGGUUAAGUCCCGCAACGAGCGCAACCCUUGCCUUUAGUUGCCAGCAGUUCGGCUGGGCACUCUAAAGGGACUGCCGGUGUUAAACCGGAGGAAGGUGGGGAUGACGUCAAGUCCUCAUGGCCUUUAUGACCAGGGCUACACACGUACUACAAUGGCCGAUACAAAGGGCAGCGACACUGCGAGGUGAAGCCAAUCCCGUAAAAUCGGUCUCAGUCCGGAUUGGAGUCUGCAACUCGACUCCAUGAAGUUGGAAUCGCUAGUAAUCGUGGAUCAGCAUGCCACGGUGAAUACGUUCCCGGGCCUU